GACGAACGCUGGCGGCGUGCUUAACACAUGCAAGUCGAACGGAAAGGCCCUUACUGCGGGAUACUAGUGGCGCACAGGGGUGUAACACGCGGGUGUUCUGCGCUCUACACUUUGAUAUGCGCGGGAAACUCGGGCUAAUACCGCGAAUAGCCCCGAUCUUCAUGGAGUGGGGUGGAAAGCUUUUGCGGUGUGGGGUGAGCGCGCGGCCUAUCAGCUUGUUGGUGGGGUGAUGGCCUACCAAGGCGACGACGGGUAGCCGGCCUGAGAGGGUGACCGGCCACACGGGGCCUGAGGGAGGCCCCAGACGCCAACGGGGGGCAGAGGGGGGGAAUAUUGCCCAAUGGGCGCAAGCCGGUGGAGGCGACGCCCGGGGGGGAAUGCCGGCUUGCGGGUUGAAAACCGCUUCCAGUACCGACGAAGCUGUUGUGACGGUACCUACAGAAGAAGCACCGGCUAACUACGUG
rnacentral:rRNA from 1 species